ACUUUGUUUUAUGUUUUUGAGUCAGUUUUAAGUGUUUUAGCAAUCCCUCCUAAUCCUCGGCUUAGAACGAUCCUUACUUACAUACUUUGCUACAAUUGAUAAAAAGAGGGUUUAAUUUGUGUGCUUAUAUAUUUCGCAUCAUGAGGAUAGUGUGGGUAACAAAGAACAUAGGCUACACAAGGCUCAACGGGAUUAAACCUAAACACAUAAUGAACGGGAUAGGCUUUUUGGCUCUUGGCUUACUAAACAACUUCAUCUUGAAUAUGUGUUAUGCAAAUCAAUAACAUGCUUUGAAUGAAAUAGGCAUGAGUUCUAGCAUUUGGAACUAAAUGAUGAAACGCCUUCUAAGUAGCAACCUGAUGCGAAAUACAUAAGCGUACAAAUUAAACCCUCUUUUUAUCAAUUGUAGCAAAGUAUGUAAGUAGGGAUCGUUCUAGGCCGGGGAUUAGGAGGGAUUGCUAAAUCACUUAAAACUGACUCAAAAACGUAAAAACAAAGUUUAAAACACUAAACUAGGCUCAAAGAAUGCAAAACUAAACUCUAAAACACUAAAACAAACCAAAAGACUCAAAACAGCCCAGAAACACUCAAAACUGCCUUAAAAUCACAAUUUGGGCAGUUUGAACACCUAACACUAAUCUGGACGAAAUUGGGUUAUAACUUGACUCAAGACACUUAAAAACACAAACUAAAUUGACUUCUAACUAAGAUGACUCAACAAGAUAAAGGGGGAUUGAUUUUAGACGGAUUUAAAAACAAAACAGAAACUUUGUAACUUGAACAGAUUUUAAAACGAAUUUGGCUAAAGUUAAUGGAUGGAAAAUUAGCUAAGGGGUUCUUCUCCACACAUGUCACACUUGCAUACAAAACGAUUUCCAAUUGCUUCUCAAUAAACCAUGAAUUCUCAACGCCCCAAGUUAAUUAGGUCCGCUUAAAUUAACCUUCAGAUUUUCCUUAAGUUAUUGAAUUGGAUGAAUUGCAUACGACAACCCAAAGCAUUCCCCACAAGUUCCCUACAUGAAAGCGCAUAAUAGAGAUUCAAGCAAGGAUCAUUAAGUUCUAUGAAAAUCAUAAGCAUUGACGAGGCACUCGUAACUAUGAAAGCGCAUGAUACUUAUACCAAGAAUUUACUUAACGCGAUUGUGAUCAACAACCUUUACUACUUGUGAAUAUAAGUUCAUAACAAUUAAUUGAAAUUCCCUUAUAUCCUAGCAUCAAAUCCAUGCAUGCAAACUAAGCGGGCCCUCUUAACCAACAUACACAAACCAGUUUUAAUUCAUAUAGAUAAGUAAAUUGAAUUCACAACUUAUGAAACGCAAUUAGAAGUAAUCAAAUCAUAUAGCAAGCAUAAACAUGGUUUUGAAUCCCCCCUAGCCAAGGGGGGUUUAGUUCCUCAUACUCGCAAAGCAAAGAUACAUAAAUUUAGAAAUUAAAAUCCAAAGAAAGAAAACACCUAGAAUGCUCCAACUUGGCAGCAAGCGCAUCAACGAUUUCUCCUUCCUCCUUGCUGUGGCAGAGAAGUUUAGAACAGGUUUUGGAUGGUAUUUAUGGUGUAGAAUGGAUGGCGAAUGGUAUGGAAAGGUUUAGGGUUGAUGGGUGGUGCGGCAAGGGAUGAUUUCUGGCUGGAAUUAGAGAGAAUGGUGGUGGAAAGCUGCGGCAGAGCACAAGGGUGGAUUUCUGGCGUGUAGAAUGAAUAUGGGAGGUGGUAAUUCGGCCAAGGGGUUAUAAUGAGUAUAUAUAGGCACUUAAAACCCUAGGUAAAUCAGAUAUGGACUUGAAUAACCCAAAUCCACAAGGAAAUAGGCUUAGAAAUCAGAAUCCACAAGGGAAAAGGUCCACAAAGGUGCGGCAGGUUUAGAUGAUAUGGAUAGGGCUUCUAGAAUGCCUUGCAAGGCAAGGAAAACAAGUUAUAGAAAGGGGAUAGGUGCGGCAGGUUUAGGGAAUGUAGAUAGGGCUUCUAGAAAGCCCAAAACCAAGAGAAAAUAAGGCCCAACCCACGGCAAGGAUGAGAAAAUGUUCUAGAACCCUUCUUUGUGUCUUCCAACGCUUAGGAACCUUCUAAUUUUGCUAAAACUCAAGGCCAUGUAGGUUUAGGAAAGAUCAACCCAAAGUGGAAACUUUUAGGCUUAGCUCUCUUAUUUCAAGGAGGAAACCUCGUUUGUAUGAUCUCAUGAAUGGAAUGCUACUACUUAGAUGCGAGAACCAGUGACACCAUAUGCUCAUACCAAUCCCAAACUCCACAAAUUGAAAUACACAACACUCAAGAUAAGGGUUGUAACAGGGCUCGAGGUAUUGGCUAACAAAGAAAGGUAAAGGAUAAACAAACGUUCUUAAAACAAUAGUAAGCAAAGUAAUGAAAUUGACACUUAGAAUUCACUUUUGAAUGCAAAAAUCAACUUUUAAACACAAAGGGGAUGUGCAUGCAACACUUAGGGUCAAAUUCAAUGUUUUGGACCCUUUCUUCAACAACCAACAACUUAUAGCUCAUUUUCACAUCUUUUCAACUCCUUUUCAUACUUUUCACAAAUUUUUCUUUUUUUUCUUUCUAUUUUCCACAAAUUUUUUUCUUUCUUCUUUUUUUUUUCUUUUUUUUUCUUUUUUUCUAACCCAUGCCUCAUUUAAGACUUUGGCACACACAUACAAGAAUCACUUCCCCCACACUUGUUUUCUGCACAUUCUUGAUCAAAAGGAAUUCAUUUUGAGUCAUGCUUACUAUGCUUCAAGAACAAGGGUAAGGAUGGGCCUAAUCUAGGCUAGGUAAGGAUAAUGUGGGUUAACAAACAAUAUAGGCUAAACAAGACUCAACGGGGUUAAACCUACAAAAACAAAUGCAUGGAAUGAAGGCUUUUUGGCUAUGGUGGUAACUACUAACUUCAUCUUGAAUAUGUGUUAUGCAAUUCAAUAACAUGUUUUGAAUGACAUUGGCAUGAGUUCUAGUGUUUGGAACUAAAUGAUGAAACGCCUUCUAGGUAGUAACCAAGCAAAGAAUAAUGAGAUCAUGCAACGACUUUAGAAAACAAUAAUGCACAGAUUUUAACUCUCCAAAUAAACGUUUAGGCUCAAGUCUCUCAGGGUUGUAGCGUUAAUUUCAGUUCCUUCCUUCAAGCAUGUUACAAAAAAUGAUUUUUCUUUAUGAUUACAUGUGAAUUCAUAAGUUAUAACCACAACCAAGCAUAAACCAAAGAGUAAAUCACACGUCCAUCCAUGUUUAUAACUCUCUUUAACAGUCAUGCUCUUAAAAACCAAAUCCUCAUCAUUGUGUUGGAAGGUACCCUAAGACACAAACAAACACACAAAACAACUUUAAAAUGACUCUUUUUGGGUUUUUCAAAACAUUUUUUUUUCAAAUUUUUAUGGGAUUUUCGAAUUUUUAUGUCAAAACACACUAAAACACACCAAAACAGCCUAAAAACACCUAAAAACAGCAAGGAACAACAUUUGAAAUUAUGGGUGAUAAAACCCUACGAAUUUGUAUUAAAACACUUUGGUUACCCCCCCCACUUAAAUCAAACAUUGUCCUCAAUGUUUCAAGCAUAAACUAACACAAAUAACCAACAAACAAAGAAAACAGCAACUAAACAAUCUAACAUGGCAAAAACGAAAUAACAACAAAGAGAAGGGUUUAGGAACGCAAAUCUGGAAUUGGAGUGCUCUCUAGGUCUUCCUUUGUCGAAUGCAUGGGUUGCCUCCCAAGUAGCGCUUUCUUUAAUGUCUUGCAGUCGGACGAUACUCCAUUGAAGGUUUAUGGAACCCCACGGCAUGGAGGGGUUUUUCCACUCCUGUCCUACGAAAUACUUCAUUCUUCGGGUCCUUGAAUGGGAUGGGAUAAUGAUCCUUUCUUAUUGUCGUGUUUUGCUUCUCUAAAUCAACACGAACUCUCCCACAAUGUUGACUUCGAUUAGGUACCUGCACCAUACAAGGUAGCAACCUAUUAGUUGAAAUGGGAAUCGAAAUUGGAAUAGGUGGCUUACCUUUGUACGGCAAAGAAGUGGUAGCAUUAUGGACAGAUGCACAAGGGGUGCACUCGACCAGAUUUGGUGAUUUCAAGGUUGGGGCCGUGCACUCUUUGUUGUUCACUCCAAUUCCUUCCUCGAUGGUGGGUUGUGGUACAUUCUUCUUAACUAAUGUUGAACAUUCCUGCCCUAUAUUUUCAAUUACAUUAAUAGCACAACAAGAACGAACAUCAUUAGUAUUCUCAACCGAUUCAGAAAUCUUAAAGUUAAUCAUAUCACCACCAAAGGCCAUAGUUACUGCUCCCUUGGCCACGUCAAUCUUAGUUUGAGCCGUUUUCAUGAAUGGUCGUCCAAGUAAGAGUGGUGAUGGUGGAGAGUGGGUUGAGUCCUCCAUAUCAAGCACAUAGAAAUCUGCAGGAAAAAUCAAGUGGUCUACCUGCACCAAAACAUCUUCCAACACUCCUUUGGGAUAUGCAUUAGAUCGAUCGGCUAAUUGAAUAAUAACUCCAUCAUUUUUAAGCUUUCCUAGAUUCAUAGAUGCAUAAACAGCAUAUGGCAUGACAUUUAUAGAUGCACCUAAAUCUAACAUAGCAUGAUCAAACCUCGUAUUGCCAAUAACACAAGGGAUAGUGAAACUACCUGGAUCUUUGCAUUUAGGUGGUAACUUUCUUUGCAACAAUGCAGAUACAUUCUCACUUACGUGUACCACCUCUUUCUCCCGAAUCCGUUUCCUUGUUGUACAAAGCUUCUUAAAAAACUUGGCAUAUUUCGGGAUUUGCUUUAUAGCAUCAAGAAGUGGGAUAUUGACAUGCACCUUCCUAAACGUCUCAAGAACAUCUUUCUCCUCUUCUUCGUUCUUGGCUUGCAAAAAUCUGCUAGGAAACGGUACAUUCGGAGGAAUGACAUUAGAAUUAACUUGAAUUGGACCUUCCUUACCUAUGGUGGCCGAAUUGGAAUGCUUGGGUGGUUGCGGCAAGGGUGUUUCUACCCUUGCCGUGGCCUUUUCUUGGUUCUCCUCCUCAAUUUGCAACUUCUCGUCCUCCUUGGGGGCAUAUUUUGAUGGUUGUGGCUCAAUUCCUACUUCUUUCCCGCUCCUUAGCGUGAUGGCCUUGGCAGUUUCGAAUCCUCCCCUCGGAUUGACAACGGUUGAACUUGGCAACUUGCCUUGCUCUCGAAAUUGGCCCAUGAACUCCGCAAUCUGCCCUACUUGCUUCUCCAACUCAUCCAUCCUUUUGUCUCUAUUUUGCAUACCAUGCGCCAUAGAAGUUAGUAAUUGAAAAAUCUGAUCAUUAUCAAUGGACGAACCUGAAUUGGUUUGGGUAGGUUAUGCUUGAGGUUGUGUGGGUGCAAACGGCUUUUGAUAGAAACCCGGGGGUUGUUGCCUAAAUGUGCUUUGUUGUUGGCCUUGUUGGGGUUCUCGCCAUUUGAAGUUUGGAUGAUCUCUCCAACCGGGAUUGUAGGUAUUAAAGAAGGGAUCACUUCUUUGUUGAUAUGGCUGCCCAAGACCCACGUCAUUGAAGGUCUCCCACCCUCCAUUCUCUAUCAAUUGUGGGCACUUGUCUGUAAGGUGUCCUUGCAUGGAGCACACGCCACAAGCACUUACAUUUUGUACUUUUGGUCCUUCCACAACCUGAGAAAGAAGAGUAGUAAGGUUAGCCAUUUGAUUUUGAAGUUCGGAUAUGGCACUUACCUCGUUCACUUGGUGUUGCCGUGGGUUUGUCCAUUGCCCAACACCUUCGUAUUAUUGAGCGUUCAACGCUCGAUUAGCUAUCAAUGUCUUUGCAGCCGUGGGGGUCUUGUCCACCAAAGCUCCUCCCUCCGAGGCAUCUAGCAUUUAACGUUCGAUUAGUAGAAGCCCCUCGUAGAAGUAUUGUAGAAAAAGCUCUUCCUUCAUUUGAUGUUGUGGACAAUAAGCAACAAGAGAUUUAAAACGUUCAUAAUAAGUAGGAAAAGAUUCACCUUCAUCUUGUUGAAUUCCACUUAUCAUUUUUCGUAGGAGGAUGACUCGAGAAGUUGGGAAAAACUUCUCCAAGAAGGGCCGCUUCAUACUCUCCCAAGAUGUGACAGUUCCGGGAGCUAAUUCAUACAACCAAUCUUUCGCCUUUUCUAAGAGAGAAAAGGGAAAGGCCUUCAUCUUUAAAAUACUUCCAUCAACAUUGAUGGGGGUCAUGCUUGAACACACCACUUCGAAUUCUUUCAAGUGCUUGUUAGGAUCCUCCAUGGACAACCCAUGGUACUUCGGAAUGUGGUGUAGCAAACUUGACUUCAACUCGAAUUCUUCGGUCUUUCCUUGGGCAGCUGCGGGGUAUUGGAUGCAUAGGGGUGCGGCAUUGUCCAAUCCCGAAGCCGAAAGCUCCUUGAUUGUACAAUUGUCUUGUGCCAUGACUGCCUCUACUUCACCCACUCUUGCCGUGGGUUCCUCUUCUUCAAACUCAACUUCGGCUUCUGAAUUUGAACUUGAUUCACUAGGUUUGGGAUUCUUCCUCUUUCGUCUCAACUCUCGCUCAAAAUCGUCGUCAAAGUCCAAGAUGUGUUCACGAACCGGAUGAGAACUCCGAGUCAUAAACUAGUACCUAAAACAAGAAACAAGAACAAUGUAAGAAUCUGGAAUGAAUUAAAACAAACUGAAAUAAAACAAUCCAAUGGAUUAGCAACUUAGCUAAUCCCCGGCAACGGCGCCAAAAUUUGAUGCGUAAAAUAACUAAACACACAAAUUAAACCCUCUUGUUAUCAAUUGUAGCAAAGUAUGUAAGUAGGGAUCGUUCUAAGCCGGGGAUUAGGAGGGAUUGCUAAAUCACUUGAAAACUGACUCAAAUACGUAAAAACAAGUUUAAAACA
rnacentral:lncRNA from 1 species